CCUACGGGUGGCAGCAGUGAGGAAUAUUGGUCAAUGGGCGCAAGCCUGAACCAGCCAAGUCGCGUGAGGGAUGACGGUCCUCUGGAUUGUAAACCUCUUUUGUCGGGGAGCAAGGCCCGCCACGUGUGGCGGGAAGGAGAGUACCCGAAGAAAAAGCAUCGGCUAACUCCGUGCCAGCAGCCGCGGUAAUACGGGGGAGGCGAGCGUUAUCCGGAUUUGUUGGGUUUAAAGGGUGCGUAGGCGGAAGGUUAAGUCUGCGGGAAAAUGUCGGUGUUCAACACCGGCCUGCCGUUGAAACUGGUCUGCUUGAGUGAGCGAGAGGUAUGCGGAAUGCGUGGUGUAGCGGUGAAAUGCAUAGAUAUCACGAAGAACUCCGAUUGCGAAGGCAGCAUACCGGCGCUCAACUGACGCUGAGGCACGAAAGCGUGGGGAUCGAACAGGAUUAGAUACCCUUGUAGUC
rnacentral:rRNA from 1 species